CCUACGGGGUGCAGCAGUGAGGAAUAUUGGUCAAUGGGCGGGAGCCUGAACCAGCCAAGUCGCGUGAAGGAAGAAGGCGCCAAGCGUCGUAAACUUCUUUUGUCGGGGGACAAGGGGCGCCACGUGUGGCGUUGUGAGUGUACCCGAAGAAAAAGCAUCGGCUAACGCCGUGCCAGCCGCCGCGGUAAUACGGGGGAUGCGAGUGGUAUCCGGAUUUGUUGGGUUUAAAGGGUGCGUAGGCGGUCCGGAAAGUCAGCGGUAAAAGCCCGGGGCUCAACCCCGGCGAGCGGUUGAAACUGACGGACUAGAGACGGCGAGAAGUACGCGGAAUGCGCGGUGUAGCGGUGAAAUGCAUAGAUAUCGCGCAGAACCCCGAUUGCGAAGGCAGCGUACCGGCGCCGGACUGACGCUGAGGCACGAAAGCGUGGGUAUCGAACAGGAUUAGAUACCCCAGUAGUC
rnacentral:rRNA from 1 species